rnacentral:rRNA from 1 species
GUCCACACUGUAAACGAUGGAUACUAGGUGUAGGGUGUAUUAAGCAUUCUGUGCCGCCGCUAACGCAUUAAGUAUCCCACCUGGGGAGUACGACCGCAAGGUUGAAACUCAAAGGAAUUGACGGGGGCCCCGCACAAGCAGUGGAGUAUGUGGUUUAAUUCGAAGAAACGCGAAGAACCUUACCAGGGCUUGACAUAAACAGGAAUAUAUUAGAGAUAGUAUAGCUCUUCGGAGUCUGUUUACAGGUGGUGCAUGGUUGUCGU